UGGGAGCUUGCUCCCUGAGAUUAGCGGCGGACGGGUGAGUAACACGUGGGUAACCUGCCUGUAAGAUUGGGAUAACUCCGGGAAACCGGAGCUAAUACCGGAUAACACUUUGAACCGCAUGGUUUAAAGUUGAAAGAUGGUUUCGGCUAUCACUUACAGAUGGACCCGCGGCGCAUUAGCUAGUUGGUGAGGUAACGGCUCACCAAGGCAACGAUGCGUAGCCGACCUGAGAGGGUGAUCGGCCACAUUGGAACUGAGACACGGUCCAGACUCCUACGGGAGGCAGCAGUGGGGAAUAUUGCACAAUGGGCGAAAGCCUGAUGCAGCAACGCCGCGUGAGUGAUGAAGGCCUUCGGG
rnacentral:rRNA from 1 species